UACGAAGGGGGCUAGCGUUGUUCGGAAUUACUGGGCGUAAAGCGCACGUAGGCGGAUAUUUAAGUCAGGGGUGAAAUCCCGCAGCUCAACUGCGGAACUGCCCUUGAUACUGGGUAUCUAGAGUAUGGAAGAGGUGAGUGGAAUUCCGAGUGUAGAGGUGAAAUUCGUAGAUAUUCGGAGGAACACCAGUGGCGAAGGCGGCUCACUGGUCCAUUACUGACGCUGAGGUGCGAAAGCGUGGGGAGCAAACAGG
rnacentral:rRNA from 1 species